rnacentral:rRNA from 1 species
GAAUAAGCACCGGCUAACUCCCUGCCAGCAUCCGCGGUAAUACGGAGGGUUCAACCGUUAUCCGGAUUUAUUGGGUUUAAAGGGUGUCGUAGGCGGUUUAUUAAGUCAGUUGUGAAAGCUGGUCGCUCAACGAUUCAGUGCCAUUGAUAGCUGGUAGNCUUGUGUGNGAAUGAGGUANCUCCAUGGAUACUGUAACGGUGGAAUGCAUAGAUAUUAUCCAGAACCCAAUUGCGUAGGCAA